GAUGAACGCUGGCGGCGUGCCUAAUACAUGCAAGUCGAGCGAACAGACGAGGAGCUUGCUCCUCUGACGUUAGCGGCGGACGGGUGAGUAACACGUGGAUAACCUACCUAUAAGACUGGGAUAACUUCGGGAAACCGGAGCUAAUACCGGAUAAUAUAUUGAACCGCAUGGUUCAAUAGUGAAAGACGGUUUUGCUGUCACUUAUAGAUGGAUCCGCGCCGCAUUAGCUAGUUGGUAAGGUAACGGCUUACCAAGGCAACGAUGCGUAGCCGACCUGAGAGGGUGAUCGGCCACACUGGAACUGAGACACGGUCCAGACUCCUACGGGAGGCAGCAGUAGGGAAUCUUCCGCAAUGGGCGAAAGCCUGACGGAGCAACGCCGCGUGAGUGAUGAAGGUCUUCGGAUCGUAAAACUCUGUUAUCAGGGAAGAACAAAUGUGUAAGUAACUAUGCACGUCUUGACGGUACCUAAGCAGAAAGCCACGGCUAACUACGU
rnacentral:rRNA from 1 species